CCCGACUGCUAUUUGGGUGAGAAUAAGCCAUGCAAGUUGAAUGGAAUGCCAAAAUAUUCCAUGGCAAACUGCUCAAUAACACGUGAUCAACUUACCCUAUGGAAAACAAUAACCUCUGGAAACGGAGGAUAAUGGUUUAUAGUUGAAAAGGCUUGGAAAAGUUUUUCAAUAAAAGGGAAUAAUAAAAAUGGUUAUUAUUUUGCCAUAGGAUAGGAUUGCGGUCGAUUAUGGUUGUUGGUGAGAUAAUGGCUCACCAAGCCGAUAAUCGAUAGGGGCCGUGAGAGCGGGAGCCCCGAGAUGGGUACUGAGACAACGACCCAGGCCUUACGAGGCGCAGCAGGCGCGGAACCUCCGCAAUACACGAAAGUGUGACGGGGUUACCCAAAGUGUUCAAUUUGAACUGUGGUAGGUGAGUAAUGUCCCCUACUAGAAAGGAGAGGGCAAGGCUGGUGCCAGCCGCCGCGGUAAAACCAGCUCUUCAAGUGGUCGGGAUAAUAUUGGGCUUAAAGUGUCCGUAGCCGGUUUAGUAAGUUCCUGGUAAAAUCGGGUAGCUUAACUAUCUGCAUGCUAGGAAUACUGCUAUACUAGAGGGCGGGAGAGGUCUGAGGUACUGCAGGGGUAGGGGUGAAAUCUUAUAAUCCUUGUAGGACCACCAGUGGCGAAGGCGUCAGACUGGAACGCGCCUGACGGUGAGGGACGAAAGCCAGGGGAGCGAACCGGAUUAGAUACCCGGGUAGUCCUGGCCGUAAACGAUGCAUACUAGGUGAUGGUACGGCCAUGAGCCGUAUCAGUGCCGUAGGGAAACCGUUAAGUGUGCCGCCUGGGAAGUACGGUCGCAAGGCUAAAACUUAAAGGAAUUGGCGGGGGAGCACCACAAGGGGUGAAGCCUGCGGUUCA
rnacentral:rRNA from 1 species